rnacentral:rRNA from 1 species
AGUGAACGCUGGCGGUAGGCCUAACACAUGCAAGUCGAACGGCAGCACAGUAAGAGCUUGCUCUUACGGGUGGCGAGUGGCGGACGGGUGAGGAAUACAUCGGAAUCUACUUUUUCGUGGGGGAUAACGUAGGGAAACUUACGCUAAUACCGCAUACGACCUACGGGUGAAAGCAGGGGAUCUUCGGACCUUGCGCGAUUGAAUGAGCCGAUGUCGGAUUAGCUAGUUGGCGGGGUAAAGGCCCACCAAGGCGACGAUCCGUAGCUGGUCUGAGAGGAUGAUCAGCCACACUGGAGCUGAGACACGGUCCAGGCUCCUACGGGAGGCAGCAGUGGGGAAUGUUGGACAAUGGGCGCAAGCCUGAUCCAGCCAUACCGCGUGGGUGAAGAAGGCCUUCGGGUUGUAAAGCCCUUUUGUUGGGAAAGAAAAGCAGCAGGUUAAUACCCCGCUGUUCUGACGGUACCCAAAGAAUAAGCACCGGCUAACUUCGUG